AUACUUACCUGGCAAGGGAGACACCGUGAUCACGAAGGCGGUUCACCCAGGGCGAGGCUCAGCCAUUGCACUCCGACUGUGCUGACCCCUGCGAAUGCAUAAUUUCUGGUAGUGGGGGACUGCGUUCGCGCUCUCCCCUG
ensembl:snRNA U1 U1 spliceosomal RNA